GACGAACGCUGGCGGCGUGCCUAAUACAUGCAAGUCGAGCGAGCGGAACCAACAGAUUUACUUCGGUAAUGACGUUGGGAAAGCGAGCGGCGGAUGGGUGAGUAACACGUGGGGAACCUGCCCCUAAGUCUGGGAUACCAUUUGGAAACAGGUGCUAAUACCGGAUAAUAAAGCAGAUCGCAUGAUCAGCUUUUGAAAGGCGGCGUAAGCUGUCGCUAAGGGAUGGCCCCGCGGUGCAUUAGCUAGUUGGUAAGGUAACGGCUUACCAAGGCGACGAUGCAUAGCCGGGUUGAGAGGAUGAAUGGCCACAUUGGGACUGAGAUACGGCCCAG
rnacentral:rRNA from 1 species